rnacentral:lncRNA from 1 species
GAUUAACAAUGUGGGGCUGGCAUGUCAUAAUUAGCAGUGGGGGGACAGCAGCCUGCAUGACAGUUCUGCAUGGCAUGCUGUCCUUUUCUCUCCAGUGCAGUCCCCAUCUCACUUCUAAUGUGCAAAAGGAGAGAUUAUUCACCAGGGUGCUGAGAUACCAGGACACAGAAGAAAACAGGAAUACUCAUCUCUGA